UAGAGUUUGAUCCUGGCUCAGGAUGAACGCUAGCUACAGGCUUAACACAUGCAAGUCGAGGGGAAACGAUAUUGAAAGCUUGCUUUCUUUAGGCGUCGACCGGCGAAUGGGUGAGUAACGCGUAUCCAACCUGCCCCUGAGUAAGGAAUAGCCCAUCGAAAGAUGGAUUAAUACCUUAUGGUCUCCUUUGCAGACAUCUAAUUAGGAGUAAAGAUUUAUCGCUGAGGGAUGGGGAUGCGUCUGAUUAGCUUGUUGGCGGGGUAACGGCCCACCAAGGCAACGAUCAGUAGGGGUUCUGGGAGGAAGGUCCCCCACAUUGGUACUGAGACACGGACCAAACUCCUACGGGAGGCAGCAGUGAGGAAUAUUGGUCAAUGGGCGGAAGCCUGAACCAGCCAAGUAGCGUGCAGGAUGACUGCCCCUAUGGGUUGUAAACUGCUUUUAUACGGGGAUAAAGUCAGAGUCGUGACUCUGUUUGCAGGUACCGUAUGAAUAAGGACCGGCUAAUUCCGUGCCAGCAGCCCCGGUAAUACGGAAAGUCCAGGCCGCAUCCCGAAUUAUUGGGUUUAAAAGGAGCGAAGGCCGGAAAAAAGUUGGGUUGGGAAAUUUAGGCCCCCAAACCUCUGCCCUGGCAACCAAACUGGGUUUCCCUGAAUAACACCCAACGUUGGGGGAA
rnacentral:rRNA from 1 species